AGCAGCCGCGGUAAUUCCAGCUCCAAUAGCGUAUAUUAAAGUUGUUGCAGUUAAAAAGCUCGUAGUUGAAUUUCGGGGUCAGUAGGUUGGUCGUGCCACUGGUACGUACUGGCCUCACUGAUUCCUCCUUCCUGAUGAGCCGUAAUGCCAUUAAUUUGGUGUUGCGAGGAAUCUGGACUGUUACUUUGAAAAAAUUAGAAUGUUUAAAGCAGGCUAACGCUUGAAUACAUUAGCAUGGAAUAAUGAAAUAGGACGUUUGAUCCUAUUUUGUUGGUUUCUAGGAUUGACGUAAUGAUUAAUAGGGAUAGUUGGGGGCAUUAGUAUUCAAUUGUCAGAGGUGAAAUUCUUGGAUUUAUUGAAGACUAACUACUGCGAAAGCAUUUGCCAAGGAUGUUUUCAUUAAUCAAGAACGAAAGUUAGGGGAUCGAAGACGAUCAGAUACCGUCGUAGUCUUAACCAUAAACUAUGCCGACUAGGGAUCGGAUGAUGUUAAUUUUUUAAUGA
rnacentral:rRNA from 1 species